rnacentral:rRNA from 1 species
CGGUGGAUUAUGUGGAUUAAUUCGAUGCAACGCGAAAACCUUACCUACCCUGACAUGUCCUGAAGCUUGGAGAGAUCCGGGUGUGCCCGAAAGGGAACGGGAACACAGGUGCUGCAUGGCUGUCGUCAGCUCGUGUCGUGAGAUGUUGGGUUAAGUCCCGCAACGAGCGCAACCCUUGUCAUUAGUUGCUACAUUUGGUUGGGCACUCUAAUGAGACUGCCGGUGACAAACCGGAGGAAGGUGGGGAUGACGUCAAGUCCUCAUGGCCCUUAUGGGUAGGGCUUCACACGUAAUACAAUGGCGCGUACAGAGGGUUGCCAAGCCGCGAGGUGGAGCCAAUCCCAGAAAGCGCGUCGUAGUCCGGAUUGCAGUCUGCAACUCGACUGCAUGAAGUCGGAAUCGCUAGUAAUCGCGGAUCAGCAUGUCGCGGUGAAUACGUUCCCGGGUCUU